rnacentral:misc_RNA from 1 species
GCUUUAGAUGAGCUUACCUCCAAAGUAAGUACUCUCAUAAUUAAUAUUCUCAGUUAUUAAUCUUUCUUUAUCUUGCUGCAACACUCUCUCAUGCCUUGUCUUACCUAUCUUUUGAGAAUGAAAGAAUAAAAAAACUGUUGACGCAUUGGUUGAGGAAUUGGGUAAAAUUCCUACAAUUUUUCCAAUUAAAUUGCCAAGAAACUUGUUUUGGGAUAUGAGUUCCUGUGGUGAUUAUUGUGAAAUUAUGUUUUAAGGGUUCAAAUACUACACCUUAAGUUUCCUAAGGGUUUUUAGUCACUUUGUUUGUGCUUAUUUUUCGUGUUGAUGAAAACUGAAUCUGUUUGGACUGGGAAGAACACCUUCAAAAAUUGCAUCUUUUGUUUUCCUUCUUGAUUUUGACCUGUGUGCUUUGGCAGAGGCCUUGCGAGAAGUAUUGAAAGAGUGAUCUUCCUGAAACUUUCAAUGUUAUAUUUAACUAUUGAUUGUAUCAUGCUUUUUUUUUAUAUAUAUUUUCUUAAUGAUUGAUUUUCCUUCUCUCUCUCUCUCUCU